AUAUCAAUAAGCGGAGGAAAAGAAACUAACAAGGAUUCCCCUAGUAACGGCGAGUGAAGCGGGAAAAGCUCAAAUUUUAAAUCUGGCGGUCUACGGCCGUCCGAGUUGUAAUCUAGAGAAGUGUUAUCUGUGUCGGACCGCAUGUAAGUCUCCUGGAACGGAGCGUCAUAGAGGGUGAGAAUCCCGUCUGUAAUGCGGACUACCGGUGCUCUACGAUGCGCUCUCAAAGAGUCGAGUUGUUUGGGAAUGCAGCUCAAAAUGGGAGGUAAAUUCCUUCUAAAGCUAAAUAUUGGCGAGAGACCGAUAGCGCACAAGUA
rnacentral:rRNA from 1 species